rnacentral:rRNA from 1 species
AUGGCGUCGCCACAAGAAUCCAAACCCUUGUGCUUGAAGCGCAAGCUUGUCGACAACUGCCUGUCAAAAGAGUGCAAGUCUCGUCGAGUCGUGGUUGACAAUGGACCCUCUGAUCCAUCUGCUAAACGGUGCAAGUGCUGUUGCACGCGACCUAAUCUUGCCAGUGAUUGCGUCAAUUACCUGAAAAGUGGAGUUCCCAGCCGUAUCGUGUUUUAUAAACAAGAUUCUUGGCACAAUUUUCCUGAGCAAAUAAUGAAGUCCCUGAUUGAAGGAUUUAAAGGCGGCAAAUCUAGCGUUGUGGCUGUGAUGGAUGAUGAGCCUGUUCUUGUUGAUUUCUUGUCAAUGAGUCUUGUCAACCUACAAACAAGAAAACAGCAAUCUGUUGCAUGGUACGAUGAUACUGGAAAGGGCUUUUUUCCUUCUCUGUUCUUUGACGAGGAAGGUGAUGAAACGGCCAAUUUGGACUCUAGUAAUGUUGAGGAUGGUGCACAGGGAAUAAUGCUGGAUAAGGCUGUAAGUUCUCCAGAGGAAGUGGUGAAGCAAGUUGUUCUUGAAUCUGGCCCUCCGGGGCCACAUAAGCCUUCCACUGCAGACAUAUUACGUAAAAAGAUCACAUCUGUGGAAAGAGGAAGCGAAGACUUUUUGCUUGUUCAGGACCUUUUUCUCUCUGGUAUGGGUCCGUUUGCAACACCGAAUAACAUACUUCAUAUCCACCGCUACUCCCCGAAUGAUAUCACUGCUCAGUGUCGACUUCAAGCUUUUGAAAAACAAAUGAGCUGCACCAAAGAAGAUCGUGGUGAUUCAAAUGUAAGAUAUGGAUGGCUGGGUUCUACGAAGAGUGACAUAGUUAGGAUUCUAAUUAAUGGGUUUGGUAACACCGGAAAACCUGCUGAGAAGGCAUGCUUGAGCGCUGGUGUUUAUCUUUCACCAGAAGAUCGCGCCUUUACCAGUGUCGGUCUUUGUGAUGUUGACGAAAAAGCGGUGCAGUAUAUGUUAUUGUGCCGAGUGAUAUUGGGCAACAUGGAAGCUAUCACGCCUGGAUCACAAGAUUCUUUUCCAAGCAGCGAAAUAUAUGAUUCCGGAGUUGAUGAUUGCUCCAACCCAAAGUGUUAUGUUAUGUGGCCAUCCCAUCUUAACACUCACAUCCGUUUAGAAUAUCUUGUUAGUUUCAGACUUUCACCAAAAGUUCGAAAUUAUUUACUUGGCUUGAAGGGUUUAUGGUUUCACCCAUCACCAAAGGAAGUUGCUAUGGAUAUUUCUACUCUUCAACCUAUAAUGGGUGAAACUGGUGAAGCACCAACAUCCCCAUGGAUAUCCUUCAGAGUUCUGUUUGCAAUGAUCCAAGACAAUAUAUCAUCUGUAGCAAAGGAACUGCUCUUCCAUCAUUAUGAAGAGCUGAAGGAAAACGAAAUAAGUCGUGAAGAAAUGGUGAAGAAGAUGAUAAUAAUAGUCGGAGAAAAGUUACUUUUGGAAACUUUAAAGAAACUCCAUUACUGUCCAUCACUAUGGCAUAAAUCUUCUGUCGAAGUGAUGUCCAGUGAUCCUGCAAGGGUAGCAGCAGAAGAUCCUGCAAGGACAACAGAAGAACACAUAUCCUUGGAUAAAACAACUGGGCAUUGUGCACUAACUCUUGGUAACCUUGGCGAUUCCUGUGGACCAAAUACAUUGGCUGAAAGUUCCACAGCUCUUAGCACCAAAGGAUGUGAUACUCUUGCAGUAGCUACGGUGCCCAAAAGCCAUGAUUCUGUCGCACCAAGCAGUGUGCCUGAAUCAUCUACUUCUUCUGGUGCCAUAUGCCUAGCUUCCCCAAGUGUGAAACCCAAAAGUAGGGAUUCUCCUAUAAGAAUAAUGUCACCUGAAAGCUCUGCAAAUCAUGGUGCCAAAAAUCAGGAUCCUUCUGCAGUUAGAAUGGCACCUCUUCAUGACGUCCUUCUGAGGACAGCUUCUGGAAAAUCUGCAUCUCAUGGUGCGGAAGGUAGCAAUGGUGUUGCACCAAGUAUGAGACCUCAUGGUUAUGCUUAUCCAGCACCAACUAAUGCCUCAAAAGGCCGUGGGAUUGGUGCUCCAGGACUCAGUCUGAAGGGCUCUGAAUGUCCUGGGCCAGUUUUGGCACUGGGAAGCACCAAAUUCAGAGGGAUGAAAAGUCCCAGCUCUGUGCCAAGAAUGACACCUGAAGGCCCGGAAUUUCUUUCACUGAGUAUUGCGCCACAAAGCCAAGUAAUUUACCCAACUAAGUGCCAUGGUGGUGAUUUGAGUUCUUGUGCCGCACCUCCAGCUCAUGUGCCAGGACAUGUGAACUCUUCAGCUUUGAGCGCAGAAGGCUGCGAUUCUCUAGCACUGAGCAUCGCGCCAAACUGCCAUGAUCCUCCAGCAUCAAGCAACAACGAGCCAGCGUUCCCUGGGGCUCCAACAACACAUACAGCAUCUGAAGGCGAGCACUCUCAGGCGCCGAGUGCAGCCACCAUGGGUUAUACUGCUCCUGCACCGACAACCGGGGAGGCUGUACAAUUUGGACCCUGCAAUAAGCCAUCGGCGCCCAUCCCUGAGCCCGGCAGCAACGUCGCUCAGGCGGCUGACAUCCUCGUCGCCCUAUCAACUCCGCGAGAGAAGGGCAAGUAG